UGUACUGGUUGACUUCUGACUGAGACUUCUGCUUGACCCAAAGUGGACUCCAGUUAUGAAGGAGAUUGAUCUGGAAGGUUAAGACCAUAUGACGUUCAACCGGCCAUGAGAAUAAGCCACCUGAGAUCCAGGAGUCUGAGAUAUAGCUGAGUCCAGCUUUGUAUCCAUCCAAGCACCGAUGCCCUGAGGAUUGAUGUUUGGGACCCAGCCUAUUGGUACCUGACACUAGGGUUUAUCCAGCAAAUAUGAGCCCAGCGAGAUCAAUGUUAUGUAGAAACUGUCUUUUUAUGGUGGCAAAGAAUUAGAAACUAAGAGGAAACCCAUCAAAUGGAGAAUGACCAUGACUGAACAAGUUGGGCUAAAUGAUUCUGAUGGAAUAA
rnacentral:lncRNA from 1 species